UUUAAUAGAAAUGAUAAAUGUUGAUUUAUAUUUUUCAUGAUUAUAAAAAAAAAAAUAGAAAAAUUAAAUCAACAAAGAAUAUAUAGAAGAUGGGGCGUGCCCGAUCCAGAAUGUGUUAUAAACAGGGCCGAUGAUGUCAUAGACGAUGAAAUUCAAUCCUCCUUCUCGAGAGAACAGAUUGAACUAUUACAAGCACCGUUAUCUUACUUUAAUAAUAACAUCUAAGCUUAAUAUGUUUAAUUUGAACAGAAUUCAUGUAACCAAAAUUUAUAUUUAUGUAACGCAAGCAAUGGAAAGUAACGUGUUUUAUUUAGGAUUAAAAGAUACAUACAAUUA
rnacentral:lncRNA from 1 species